ensembl:snRNA U2 U2 spliceosomal RNA
AUCGCUUCUCGGCCUUUUGGCUAAGAUCAAGUGUAGUAUCUGUUCUUAUCAGUUUAAUAUCUGAUACGCCCCGAUUCGGGGCAACGAUAAACGCAUUUUAGAACAGGGAGCUGAAUAAGGGGCUCGCUCCGUUCGCUCCACGCAUCGACCCGGUAUUGCAGCGCCUCCGGGAACGGUGCCCCCUUU